rnacentral:lncRNA from 1 species
GGGGGUCAAUUGACCAUUUCGGUCAUGUUGACUUAUUUGUAAAUCUUACUUUGCUGAACAUUAUUGUUGUUUACAGUUUAUCUCUAUCAAUAAUAAUAUUCAAGAUAAUGACCAAAAACAGCAAAAUUUCCUUAAAACUAACAAUCCAGGGUCAGCAACCCAACAACGGGUUGUCCGAUUCAUCUAAAAAUUUCAGAGCAGAUAAAUGUUGACCUGAUAAACAAUUUUACUCCAUGUCAGAUUUGCUCUAAAUGCUUUGGGUUUUGAGUUAUAAGCCAAAAACUGCAUUUUACCCCAUGUUCUAUUUUUAGCCAUGGCGGCCAUCUUGGUUGGAUGGCCGGGUCACCGGACACAUUUUUCAAACUACUAACCCAAAAGAUGAUUGUGGCCAAGUUUGGAUUAAUUUGGCCAAGUAGUUUCAGAGGAGAAGAUUUUUGUAAAAGAUUACUAAGAUUUUACGAAAAAUGGUUAAAAAUUGACUAUAAAGGGCAAUAACUCCUAAAGGGGUCAACUGACCAUUUCAGUCAUGUUGACUUAUUUGUAAAUCUUACUUUGGUGAAC